GGUGAACGCUAGCUACAGGCUUAACACAUGCAAGUCGCGGGGCAGCAUGGGGGUUGCUUGCAAUCCCCGAUGGCGACCGGCGCACGGGUGAGUAACGCGUAUCCAACCUGCCCUUCACCACGGGAUAACCCGGCGAAAGUCGGACUAAUACCGUAUGUUGUCCAUUGACGGCAUCCGAUUUGGACGAAAGGUUUGGCGGUGAAGGAUGGGGAUGCGUCCGAUUAGCUGGACGGCGGGGUGACGGCCCACCGUGGCGACGAUCGGUAGGGGUUCUGAGCGGAAGGUCCCCCACACUGGAACUGAGACACGGUCCAGACUCCUACGGGAGGCAGCAGUGAGGAAUAUUGGUCAAUGGGCGUAAGCCUGAACCAGCCAAGUAGCGUGCAGGAUGACGGCCCUAUGGGUUGUAAACUGCUUUUAUGCGGGGAUAAAGUGGCCCACGUGUGGGUUUUUGCAGGUACCGCAUGAAUAAGGACCGGCUAAUUCCGUG
rnacentral:rRNA from 1 species